rnacentral:rRNA from 1 species
CGCCUCUUGACUAAAUAUAAGAGGUCCAGCCUGCCCAGUGACAUAGUUUAACGGCCGCGGUACCCUAACCGUGCGAAGGUAGCAUAAUCACUUGUUCUUUAAAUAGGGACUCGUAUCAACGGCAUCACGAGGGCUGUACUGUCUCCUUUCUCCAAUCAGUGAAACUGAUCUCCCCGUGAAGAAGCGGGAAUAGACCUAUAAGACGAGAAGACCCCAUGGAGCUUUAAACCCAUCACACACCCCCUACGCACCCAAAUCCAUGUAGCCCAAGGGACUUGUAUGCUGGUUUUAGGUUGGGGGGACCGCGGAGUAAAAUUUAACCUCCACGACAGACAGGUUAACACCCUUAUCCAUGAACCACAAUUCUAAGAGCCAAUAAAUUGUUGUCUAAUGACCCAAUAUUUGAUCAACGAACCAAGUUACCCUGGGGAUAACAGCGCAAUCUACUUCAAGAGCCCCUAUCGACAAGUAGGUUUACGACCUCGAUGUUGGAUCAGGGUAUCCUAGUGGUGCAGCCGCUACUAAAGGUUCGUUUGUUCAACGAUUAAAACCCU